rnacentral:rRNA from 1 species
UACGGAGGGUGCAAGCGUUGUUCGGAAUUACUGGGCGUAAAGCGCGUGUAGGCGGAUGAAGAAGUCGGGUGUGAAAUCCCUCGGCUUAACCGAGGAAGUGCGCUCGAAACCAUUCAUCUUGAGGUCCGGAGGGGAUCGGGGAAUUCCCAGUGUAGAGGUGAAAUUCGUAGAUAUUGGGAAGAACACCGGUGGAGAAAGCGCCGAUCUGGACGGAUUCUGACGCUAAGACGCGAAAGCGUGGGGAGCAAACA